rnacentral:siRNA from 1 species
CACCACUCGACUGCAUACUCGAUG